CGUCGCGCCUGACGAUAUUACUUUAUAGCAAGGACAGAGUCAGACCGAACGGGCUCAACUUUUCCGAGACAAUCCGAGCGAGUCUCAACCUCAACCAGUUUUUAUUAUUACUUUUGACGCACGGAUGCCAUUGAUUUUGAGAUUUCCAACCUUGUUAUAAACGCAUUAAGGUUCAUGUUCAUAAUACACCCUAGUUUUGUGUGUUCUUUUAGAGCACGGAAUAAUUGUCAUUAUUUUUAAAGGGAUAAGGCUAAAAUUAACGUGUAUUCUAUUCGGGUAUUAUUAUUCCAUUAUCGUACGGCUCACUAUAGCAUGCUCUAGCUAGUCUAGGGCUGCGCGUCGUUUAUGAAAUAACCUUUUUUAUCGCGUGAUAUUUUAAGUUCAUGUGGGUGAGGAAAGGGGGAGUGGGCGACCCUCGCCCGCCCGCUCGCUAUAUAGUUAUCGAGCUGAGCGAUGUUGCCGUUCCCCCCCCGCGCGCCGCAGCCCCCGGCGCGGAAGGCGCCGGCGCGACGCGCGGCCCGCGCGGACAGCGCGCGGAGCGAGCGCGCGCGCGCCUCUGCGCGUGCGCGCUCGCACCGGACCACCACCAACUCGCACGCUUCUUCUGAGAGUUUCAUGGUCCCCAUUGGUAGACACCACAGAGGAGCUGGCGACGGGAUUCGAAGCUAGCAACGAGGUGGAUGCAGCGGAUGAUGGCAUUUGUUUCCGGAACACGGACAUACAUUUCUCCAGCUUAUUCUGCAAACAUUUU